UUUUUGCUCUCCAUAAUCUUCUGAUCGUUUAUUCAAGAUUCGCUAUAUUUAUACUAUACUUGUCACGAAUAUUGGUUACAAAAGGUUACAAAAAGGUUACAAAAAGGUUACACAAGAUACAUAAAAGAGGAAGUAGUUUCUGCUGUUACAUUCAAUAAUCUAAUCUUACAAAAUAUCACAUAUACAUUGUGGUUAGGCAUUUCCUGAUACAUAGAAACUGUCAUAGCUUGUGACUUCCUUUCAAUUAUGUUUUGCAAGCAGUUCUGAAAUACUGACAGAUUAAUUGUUUAACCCCUUAAGGACCAAAUUUCUGGAAUAAAAGGGAAUCAUGACAUGUCAUGUGUCCUUAAGGGGUCAAUAUUCCUUCAUUUCCCCCUCUUUGAGCAAUAUCUUGCUCAUACCCUAUUUAAGGAGUCCUGGUCAGACAACCAGCCAUCUGCCAUGGUAUAUUCAGGAUUGCUAGCCAAUCCUGCAGGUCUUUCAUUAUGUCUUCGGCCACUAUUCCCAUAGCAUAGGACUAGGCAUCUGACCAGUACCUCAAACUUAUAGAUCUGUAUCAGCAUGUUCACCAUUGCUUCGGUUAUGUGUAUACAUUUGGAGAUACUCAUCAUAUCAAGCUGGGGAUUUUACAGGAACAGUGUUGCGUGUAUGUUUGUAAAUGCAGAAUACAAUAAUCUUGAAAAUAGCAUAAACAAGUAGAGCAAGGAUCAGAACCAUAACAAUAAGUAUUGCAAUAUUCUUUAGCCAGUCUAGGAUACUGUCAAACUUAAACAUAUCUGCCCAUGGGUGAUCAAUACCUGAAUUCCUCUUCAUUUCUAUGGACAGGUCUUCUAAUUUCUUUAUAUCUAGGGUUACUUUACCAUUAGGGCCAGUGUUCUCUGGAAUAUAGGUACAACAAACACCGGAGUCAAGUAUUUUACAGACUCCUCCCUUUUCUGCUAAAAUCAUAUCAAGGGCCAUUCUAUUCUGGAAAGUCAUUUGUGAGGUAGCCUGUAAUUGUUCAGCAAGACCUUGUAAUGCAUCUCGUGUAUAAUUUACAAAUCUUUGCUGAUUAUAAUACAUAUAAUUCAUCCAGUUAACAUUCUUGUUAGCUGUUAUAAUGGGAAAUAUUGAUUCAAAUCCUGCUGCCACCUCGUCUCUAGCUUUAAAUUCAUUAGGAACCCCUCUUGGAAUACCAAUGGCAUCUAGAUAGAUAUGUGGGUUGAAACUACCUUUUCCUUCUUGUGGAAUCAGUUACAACCUUAAUUUCAGGGAGAGAGUCGCCAAAUAUAUGGAGGGGCAUGAUUAUUUUGGCUGGGGCACAUUCUCCUCUCCAGGGGGUGGGGAGUCUAGAACGUAUUUUCAUAUCUCCACAUAUUCAAUAAACAUCUCCCACAGAUUGUGUUUGAUUCACUAAGGUACAGAAUCCUGAAGAGAAGUUAUCAAAUUGUGUACCCACCUUACCAUUAUUAUUUCCCUGAAAACAAGUAUAAUUACCAGGACAUACUGGGACAACAUCAUUUAAAUUAAACUUGGGUUCACCAAUAGGGUGACCCUUUUUCCAUUCUUCACAUUCUGUAGUAUUAACAGUGAUACCUGAAAACAAACUUAGGAAACAUUCCCAGUACUCAUCAGGGACAUGUAAGGGUACAGUUCCUAGAUGAGGUCUGGCACUACCACAUACAUAACAGUUUGACCUAUUGUUGGAAUGGGCAUUAUAUCUCAUCCAUUCCAGCCAUAGGUUUGUAUCUGCAUACCCUGUUUCUAACGCUAUGGUAUCUCCAAACGUGGGAUCUGCUAUGGCCAUCAUAUUACCAAGGGUUUGAAUGUGGGGCUUUAGAGGAUUAACAAGAGUUUGUCUAGAGGUAAAAUAUUUAAGGUAAAUUUCAUGGAGUGCCCAGUUUGCCCUAUAGGGGUACAUGUACCUGGCUUUGUUAGGGUCAUUCUAGUCAAGAGGGACUUCCCAUUCGUAUCCUUUUUAUCUAAUGCAUUCUGUGGCUUAUAACCCCAAUCUGUCCCGGUGUUCCAUCCAACUGAGCCCCAAUAAUCACAAUUGUUACCCCUCUUUGAGCAAUAUAUAUUGCUCAUAUCAUCGGAUAACAUUCUCCCAAGACAGAGAAAUUUCCACAUUAUGGCAUUCCCAAGCAAUCAUGUGGUCUACAAGAAACAGAAACUCAGCAGAAAAAAAACAAAACAAAAACCACUUAAUACUUUUGCAGACAGAUAUAUAGAAAAUGGAUGUUUAAGACAGAAUGGAACUUGGGCUUAUAGCAACUAUAUUUUUGCACAACCAGGACCUUGCGUCCUAUAUCUUUUAACCAUUUCCCUAUUCCAAAAGUCCAGUCAAAACCAGUCAUAUCCUCACGCAGUUCCUCAAAACAUGGGAAUCCAUCCCUGGCACACUCAACAUAUAUCAAAAACACACAUAGUACAUCCAUCCCUGGGUCAGCUAACACUUCCUCUCUCUCUGGCUAACUCUACAAAAAUAAAAAUAGUUCAAUAGUUCAGCAUAGUUCAGAAAAAUAGAACAAGUCUUUCACAGAGUAUAAAGAAAUCAGUUUAGACACCAGACAUUUUGUUCCAUAAAAUGGCUAAGGGUAGCAAUAUGGCUGACAACAAGACAAUGUCAGCUUCCACAUAGUUCUUCUUUUGUUUGCUGGAUUUUCACCACAAAGCUCUGUGCAACACCCCAAUGGUUGAAAGGGUUAUUACAGAACCAGCGGUAUUAGACAGCACUGCACCUUCAGGACUUUCCAGGUUCUUGCGUGCAAAGUUUAUGUCCUCAUAAAUAAGUAUCUCAGUUUCUUCGGCCUGCAUGGAUAAUGACCAAACAGAUGUAAUUGCAAAAUACUUAUUGCAUGGUCAGCCAGAGAGAUUGGUGUGUAGUCCCAGAAAUCAGGCGGCACAAACACUCCAGGACGGUCUCUACAAACAUACAAACACAAGGAUCAAUACAACAUUAAUUAAUUACCUAGGCUAAAACUUAAAUUAGAGAUUAAGGUUAAACCCUUAAUUUGUGUAACAUGUACUUCUCUUAUAUUUGCUUAUAUUUUAUGCAAUCUGUCUUCUAUGAAGUUUUACAUAAUACCCCUUUGGAAUGCCUUUGCACGGAUGAGAGUAGCACUCACUCUAUAGAAAUCCUUGUUAGGAUGAAUAUUAAAACACUAACAUAUACAUAUGGGGAUAAUUCCCAAUAACACUCUGUUCCUAAACUGGAACCUUGAUUUGAUAUUCAAAAUUAAUUACUUUAAUAAUCCUGAAUAAUUCAAUACUCUUGGAUUAACACCUAAAACUAUAUUAAAUAUUACAAACAUGAACCAUCUGUGUAUUAGGCUGGGGUUGUUGGGUGUGGGUAUAGGUUGGAAGCUAUGGUUGGUAUUGAGGAAUCUGUGGGGGUGGCUUUGGGCACUCAUUUUUCCAGUGACCCUGCUAUCCACAAUUAGAACAGUGUGUUCCACCAAUGCUGAAGUUGUUACCUCUACAAAAGUUAGACCCUUUGACCAAAUCCUCUACCUCUGCCUUUAUUCCAUAUGCAGGAUGGGAUUACCUAACUCACAGCCCCCUCUUUGUGUACCACACAGAUAUAAUAUUAAUAAGCUUUUAAAGGCUGUAUGGAUAGUUAAAUUGUGUAUAAAAAGCAAGGUUGUCUAGGGGUAUAUACAUCGACAAUGAAAGCAUAGCCUUCAUAUAGGGCUUGCAAUACUGACAGUCUGUGUCAUGAGCGUAAUGCAGACAUGCGGUUAGGUACUUUUCCAUUGUUAUAAUAUAUUGAAAACACUAAGACCUUGCAAAUUUUUAAAACGCAUAUUGCUUCCUGUACCUGGUGCCGUGCAAGGAUGUAAUUGGGACAUAUUUCAAAUUGCAUGUCAAAAGUCUAACCAUAAAACUAAAUGUUAUACGCUUAUCAAGAAAACAAGUUUAACCCGUUAGUGCAUACUUUGGAUAGCCUCUUUGCAUAAUUUGGCUCCUAGUGAGAUUAUUAUAUUUUUUUAUUAAUCCUCUUCUGGAUCUGCAAAAAUGCUUUCACUUUACCCAUACAAAUAUAAUACAGUAGUUUAGGAGAUUAAAAUUACCUCACUUAUAAAUUUCCGAAAUUGUCUAAUCUCUAUUAAAAUACCAUGUUAUUAUUACCCCAUAAUCAAUGAGACAUACUAGAUGAAUCUUACUUUGACACAAACAAUGCAAUAUACUUUAAAAGUAGAGUUAACUCUGAGCUGGACAAUACUCCCCUAUUAGAACUCCUUUAUGAGGGAGAGACAUCUUGUCCAUUCAAUCCUUUUUAUCAGUAAAAGAAUGACUUUCAGGAUUAAUCAGUUUGCAAAUGGAAAUGUGGAGCCACGAUUUGAACAGCAGAAGUUUGCGGGGCCCCUUUCACGUGGGAUGUAACAAGCGCUUUUCGUGCUCCAUAGCGAUAGCAUACAAUUGUUUCAUUCUAGCCGGCUGGACAGCAUUUCACCUUUUGUAAAAACACUAAAUGCUUACGUUAAUGAUAUGCAAAUCACUCUGAUAGUUAAACUCCUACACAAUGGACAAUAAAAUACAUGAAACACAUAACACACCAAUUCAUUUCAAACCAUAUAACUCAUACUCAGCAUCCAAUGUAAUAUUACAUGUCAUCUCACAAAACAGACAUCUCACAAAACAGACAUCUCACAAAACAGACAUCUCACAAAACAGACAUCUCACAAAACAGACGUAGUAGAAACACAUAAUGGAUACCCAGCAGAUAUGCCAAUACAGAAAACACAUUCAUGGGCACGCAACUACACACUCUGUGUCCCUCCUAGGAAACACGGGUAGACACAAUAUGAAAGCAGUCUUAAACUAACACCUCCAAAUCUCCAUUCCCAUAUAGCUAUAUCACACCACAACACAGAGCCUGAGCUCAUAGAACUACUCCAACUCAAACUACUCUUGGCCAGAAUGCUAGUAUUCAACAGCUAAUAAAACCGUUAUUUGCUAGGGUAUUUGACUGGCAUUUUUAUCAGUAUCAUUAAACUGAGACAAACUGAUUCAAAUAUAAUUUAAAACAACACAGCAACAUAUAAAUGAAACCACUUUCCAGGUAAACUGCACACUUCACACAUUAUCACAGUCACCAUUUACACAGAAUAAACAGUUAACAGCUGUACUCUGAACAUAUUAUUGUAAGGUAUACCAAUUUUAGUUUAUAUUAGAUUUAUUUUAGGGAUUCUUAUGUAUACUUUUUUUUUUUAAUUCUUAUUAACUUCGUUACUUUAAUCUACUAUAGUAUUGUAUAUAGAGAAAGGAUCCAUUUAUAUAGCGCGCUCAUAACUCAAAUAUUUGUAUGAAACGUCCAUUAACUAAUCUGAGAUGAUGCUGCAUCAAUUUUAAAUCUUACAGAAAUUUUGCAAACAUCUGGACCAGAUUACACAGACAUGGUUUCACCAGAAUCUUACAGAACUUUCAGAGACUUAAAAAAAAAAAAUUAUUCUAUACCAUGUUUAAAAGGCAUGGCAAACCUUAGACCGGUCAGUCUCCAAGAGCCUUAGUAAAACAGGUAGAAACCUUUGUCCAUAAUCUCUGAUCCAGGCUAUAUACCACAAUUUAAAAUAACAGAACACAUAUAAUGUGAGACAUAGAAGACACAAAACAUAUGCAGUAAUUAUUACACUGGAUCAUUUAAAAGGAAUCUGUUGCAAUAAAAAGGUUAGUUUACAGCGCAAAAUGAAGCAUGUGUUGGACCGCUGAAAAUGUAAAUGUUGCUCUCUUAUUAACAAACAAAAAUUAUAUUUACAGUAUGGAUCCUUUGCAACAAACACACAGGGCAGGGAAGAUGUGCUGAUUGGUAUUCUAUACAAUUAAUCCCAUACGGGGAAUUAACUUUCAAAUACUAAUGAAGUGACAUUUUGUCUCAGUUAUAAAAAUACUGAGCUCAUCAUGCAAACAAUGUAACACAUUUACACUAUCCCACUCUCAUAGAAAGUGUAGUGGGCUUAUGGUAUUAAAGCAACAAUCAUACCAGGCACACAGAUCCCAUGUGAAAUAACUUACAAUACAACAGAGUAAUAAACUUAUACUUAUAUGCAACAGAAAGAAUAAAGCAAAAGAUUUAAGUAGGUCUAUCAGGUACAACCUGCGAGCCAGUUCUUUUCUAAUAUACAGUACUGCUAUCAUAUAUAUAUGUAUAUAUAUUGGUCACUCAGGACCAGAACUUACAUUUCCCAUACUGCUGACUCAGGGUGGACACACUACUAACUUACCAAAGUGUGUCCCCAGUAUAGACAAUCACCCAAUUGAUGGAGAAUCAUUGUUUGCAAUAAAGACAUGGACACUACAAAUGUGCUUUAACAAGAUUCUCAGUGAGUAUAUUUUCAGGGUUAGCAUAUAAAGCAAAAAGAGUUUAACUAUUUCAUAUCCUUACAGUCAGCACUACUGAUUAUAAACCUUAUUUAAGCAUAAAAUACAUAUGAACAAGAAAAGUUAACUACUUCAUAUUCUUACAUGGUAAUUUCCCAUUCCUAGGACAAAUCUUUCAAACACUUAUUCACACUCACAACCAGACUUAACUAAUGACAAUUAGAGGGUGGACAAGGUAAACCUGAAACUCUGUGCACACUAUCGUAGUAUAUUCACUUAUAUACUAAAUUCUCUGUCUAUAUCACUUUAUAGACUUCCUUUUAUCUGUCUAAUUCUCUUAUUAGACCUUCUCUAGUUCACUUACUAGAAAUACAUAUAUCUCUCUGUCUAGUUCCCUUACUAGACUAAUUUAACGGGACCUUAUGUAAAACUGAGUCACAUAAAACACAUAUACUAAAUAACCUUUCCUAAAAUGAUGUAGACUUACAAAACCAUGGGGAUCAUAGAUUCAGGGCGUCAAGAUAGACACAAGGAAUUACUACUCACCCAAAAUGGUUUUGGCUACAAUCCCACUUCUGACACCAAGCUGAAAGGUAAAUCUGCUACUCUGGUGACUCGGUCCCUCUGGUCACUAUUCUCCAACCCUCGAUUGUCAGCUGAAUAUUCAGGGAAGAUUUUUAUGGAAGCGUAUUAACCAGACACACACUUUUUGCUUUCCAUAAUCUUCUGAUCGUUUAUUCAAGAUUCGCUAUAUUUAUACUAUACUUGUCACGAAUAUUGGUUACAAAAGGUUACAAAAAGGUUACAAAAAGGUUACACAAGAUACAUAAAAGAGGAAGUAGUUUCUGCUGUUACAUUCAAUAAUCUAAUCUUACAAAAUAUCACAUAUACAUUGUGGUUAGGCAUUUCCUGAUACAUAGAAACUGUCAUAGCUUGUGACUUCCUUUCAAUUAUGUUUUGCAAGCAGUUCUGAAAUACUGACAGAUUAAUUGUUUAACCCCUUAAGGACCAAAUUUCUGGAAUAAAAGGGAAUCAUGACAUGUCAUGUGUCCUUAAGGGGUCAAUAUUCC
rnacentral:lncRNA from 1 species